AAAAACUCAAAACUCAUUCAAGAGCGAUGACAUUAACUUCGCGCAUGCGCGCGUGUGUGCCCGCGACGCCUGAGGAGACGAGGGAAUGUUUUACCUCAGGAGAACUUUUUCGGGAAGUGCAUUUUGAGAUGCUGUCAUACAGAAGCAGAGAUGUCUGAGUUUUUUGGAGAAAUACAUAAUGCGUUUCCCCAUCUGAUGUGGAUCCAGUCCAGAAGCAGAAAGUGCUAUUUUGGGGGUUUAAAGUUUUCGAACGCCCAGCACUGGAACCAUCAGGAAACAACAUUAAAAUGUACAGAACUCCCUGGAGAAGACUCACAUCUUCACGAAGGGAUCAGAAUAGCCAUUGGAGUCCAUUGCUGCUAGAUGAGCACAUCGGACCACACCCACAAUGAGACGACUUUGCUGGGUAUUGUAGGAGCGGUGGAAAAGGUUGACGCCGGCGGUCUGGAACUCUGAACCUGUACUUCUCUCUUCACCACAGAUUUAACCGAAGUAGGAUUCAGGCUUCAACAUCGGGUUUCAUAACGGAGAGUCGCAUCUUCUUCUGCUACUAACUCCAUUUGACAACAUUGACUGACCGUGACUUACAUCAUCAACGGUGAUGCUUUAAUACUCGUCUUCAGGGAGAAGGCAUGCCAGCCCCCCGCCCCGCAUAUCUGACCGUGCUGAGCUCUGAUCCAAUGAGAAAGAACAUAGAAAGAGCAUUUACGGAGCACAUUUCUGAUGGAGAUGAUGAUGGUGAGAGAGGACUCAGAACAGUGCCUUAUAUCUACAACCACAAAAGAAGAUAUUUCGAAGAACGUUGAUAACCAAACUACAUUGAACCCCACCGACUUCCAUUGCAUGAACACAACACCACUGAGACAUUUCUCAAAAUAUCUUCUUUUUGCGUUUGUUGUCCCUUAAAGACUGGUGGUCUGUAUCACAAGUUUUCGGGCUCAAGGUGGAUUGGUUUUGAGCGGGUUUUAUCGCCAUGGAAACUCAGGCUACACGCUGACCUGCUCCGGUGCAGGUUUCAUUCUGGGUUAGAGAUCACAAACCGAAACUGGUCCGAUCAGUUCUGAAAAGAGUGACGCAUUUCUGACGCAGUGAAGCCACUCCCCAUGUAUCUCAC